rnacentral:rRNA from 1 species
CCUACGGGUGACAGCAGUGAGGAAUAUUGGUCAAUGGUCGGGAGACUGAACCAGCGAAGCCGCGUGAGGGAGGAAGGUACAGAGUAUCGUAAACCUCUUUUGUCAGGGAGCAAAGACUGAGACGCGUCCCCGGAUGAGUGUACCCGAAGAAAAAGCAUCGGCUAACUCCGUGCCAGCAGCCGCGGUAAUACGGAGGAUGCAAGCGUUAUCCGGAUUUACUGGGGGGAAAGGGAGCGUAGACGGCUGUGCAAGUCUGGAGUGAAAGGCGGGGGCCCAACCCCCGGACUGCUCUGGAAACUGUAUGGCUGGAGUGCAGGAGAGGUAAGCGGAAUUCCUGGUGUAGCGGUGAAAUGCGUAGAUAUUAGGAGGAACACCAGUGGCGAAGGCGGCUUACUGGACUGUAACUGACGUUGAGGCUCGAAAGCGUGGGGAGCAAACAGGAUUAGAUACCCGAGUAGUC